AACGAACGCUGGCGGCAUGCCUAACACAUGCCAGUCGAACGAGACCUUCGGGUCUAGUGGCGCACGGGUGCGUAACGCGUGGGAACCUGCCCUUAGGUUCGGAAUAACUCCCCGAAAGGGGUGCUAAUACCGGAUAAUGUCUUCGGACCAAAGAUUUAUCGCCUUUGGAUGGGCCCGCGUUGGAUUAGCUAGUUGGUAGGGUAAAAGCCUACCAAGGCGACGAUCCAUAGCUGGUCUGAGAGGAUGAUCAGUCACACUGGGACUGAGACACGGCCCAGACUCCUACGGGAGGCAGCAGUGGGGAAUAGUGGACAAUGGGCGAAAGCCUGAUCCAGCAAUGCCGCGUGAGUGAUGAAGGCCUUAGGGUUGUAAAGCUCUUUUACCCGGGAUGAUAAUGACAGUACCGGGAGAAUAAGCUCCGGCUAACUACGUG
rnacentral:rRNA from 1 species